rnacentral:rRNA from 1 species
AGCGAACGCUGGCGGCAGGCUUAACACAUGCAAGUCGAACGGUCCUUCGGGAUAGUGGCGGACGGGUGAGUAACACGUGGGAACGUACCCUUAGGUUCGGCACAACACAGGGAAACUUGUGCUAAUACCGGAUAAGCCCUUCGGGGGAAAGAUUUAUCGCCUUUGGAGCGGCCCGCGUCUGAUUAGCUUGUUGGUGAGGUAAUGGCUCAUCAAGGCGACGAUCAGUAGCUGGUCUGAGAGGAUGGCCAGCCACACUGGGACUGAGACACGGCCCAGACUCCUACGGGAGGCAGCAGUGGGGAAUCUUGCGCAAUGGGCGAAAGCCUGACGCAGCCAUGCCGCGUGGAUGAUGAAGGUCUUAGGAUUGUAAAAUCCUUUCACCGGGGACGAUAAUGACGGUACCCGGAGAAGAAGCCCCGGCUAACUUCGUGCCAGCCGCCGCAGUAA